GACGAACCGUGCGAACGUUAUUCGGAAUCACUGGGCUUAAAGGGAGCGUAGGCGGGCUAUCAAGUCUGGGGUGAAAUCCCGCGGCUCAACCGCGGAACUGCCUCAGAUACUGACGGCCUCGAGGGGGGUAGGGGCGUGCGGAACUGUGGGUGGAGCGGUGAAAUGCGUUGAUAUCCACAGGAACUCCGGUGGCGAAGGCGGCACGCUGGACCCCUUCUGACGCUGAGGCGCGAAAGCCAGGGGAGCGAACGGG
rnacentral:rRNA from 1 species